UGACAUUCUCUUAACUGAAACCAAUCCGUGCUGCCUGAAACAGUGUCAACCACAACGUGGCAUUGAUUUGUCUGUCCUUUGACAUCCUGAAAAGACAUGUAUUCCUUCGGCUGUUAUGAAGAGGAAGCCCUACAGAGACCAUCUAAUGAUGCUUAACCAUACUGCCUACCUGCACUAAAUAUAAUACAGGAAGCCGAUGGUUAGGACAGCAGAACAGAGAUGGAAUAAGAUGCCAGUUCCAUGCAGGUCACAUUUAGCUCCAGAUUAUUUUCACAUCAGAUUUAGCUAGAAUUCUGCAGCUGGAGUGAAAACAGUUCACAGACCAAUGGAAAAAAAAAAAUAAUGCUUAGUGAAGACAGAAACACUUCAAAGAAUUUUCUUCCUUUAAUAUCCUUUAACACGUCACUGAUGGUUGCCAC